GCCAGCACCCAUAUCACCCUGCAACUCACAACUGGCAACUCACUGAAGCUAAGCAGGUCUGAUCCAGGUCACUACCUGGAUGUGAGACCUCCUGGGAAAAACGAAGGUUUGUGCUGGAA
rnacentral:rRNA from 1 species